UUGUGCGUGAGACAGCGACCG
rnacentral:miRNA from 3 species